GUAAGGAAUAUUGGACAAUGGGCGAAAGCCUGAUCCAGCCAUGCCGCGUGUGUGAAGAAGGUCUUCGGAUUGUAAAGCACUUUAAGUUGGGAGGAAGGGCAGUAAGUUAAUACCUUGCUGUUUUGACGUUACCGACAGAAUAAGCACCGGCUAACUUCGUGCCAGCAGCCGCGGUAAUACGAAGGGUGCAAGCGUUAAUCGGAAUUACUGGGCGUAAAGCGCGCGUAGGUGGUUUUGUAAGUUGGAGGUGAAAUCCCCGGGCUCAACCUGGGAACUGCCUCCAAAACUGCAUGACUAGAGUACGGUAGAGGGUAGUGGAAUUUCCUGUGUAGCGGUGAAAUGCGUAGAUAUAGGAAGGAACACCAGUGGCGAAGGCGACUACCUGGACUGAUACUGACACUGAGGUGCGAAAGCGUGGGGAGCAAACAGGAUUAGAUACCCCAGUAGUCC
rnacentral:rRNA from 1 species